rnacentral:rRNA from 1 species
GAUGAACGCUGGCGGCGUGCCUAAUACAUGCAAGUCGAGCGAACGGACGAGAAGCUUGCUUCUCUGAUGUUAGCGGCGGACGGGUGAGUAACACGUGGAUAACCUACCUAUAAGACUGGGAUAACUUCGGGAAACCGGAGCUAAUACCGGAUAAUAUUUUGCACCGCAUGGUUCAAAAGUGAAAGACGGUCUUGCUGUCACUUAUAGAUGGAUCCGCGCUGCAUUAGCUAGUUGGUAAGGUAACGGCUUACCAAGGCAACGAUGCAUAGCCGACCUGUGCGAGUGAUCAGCCACACUGUAACUGAAACACGGUCCAGACCCCUACGGGAGGCAGCAGUAGGGAAUCUUCCGCAAUGGGCGAAAGCCUGACGGAACAACGCCGCAUUAGUGAUGAAGGUCUUCGGAUCGUAAAACUCUGUUAUUAGGGAAGAACAUAUGUGUAAGUAACUGUGCACAUCUUGACGGUACCUAAUCAGAAAGCCACGGCUAACUACGUG